AAUCACCCAAACAGAAUUGUAACCUCCGUCAUUGUAAAAGUCAUUUGUCUUUUUUUUUUUUCCUCCUCCUCCGCCUCCUCACUUCCUCCUCAGUAGCCUCAAAAUUGGUACCUUAACCAAUCUCCUCCUCUGAUUUUGUCUCAUCUCAUCACGAAGACUGCUUAGUCCUCUGGUUCUAAUUCUAUUUAGGAAAGCGAUUUCUUAUGGGUUUUUCAGAUUACCGACCAGAAUUUCUUGGGUAAAUUGUAAAUUUAUCUCUUUAAACAUUUCGUAGGUUCUCUUCCAUUCCUUGAUUGAUUUUGCAUUCCUUUGUCAAAGUGGUGGUGCAGAAUACAAAGUCAGUUUUAUCUUUUCUUGAAGAAAUCAAUUUUUUUGGGUUUUCGUCGAUUUGAUCUGGUUUUUUUUUUUUUUUUUUUUUUUUUUUUUUUNACUUGAUCGGUUUCGUAUCGUCGAUAACCUUCAAUCUUUUUUAUAUCUUAAGAUCUUGUGUUGAAUUUCUCUCACCUCAAAUCCCUAGCUGCCUAUGUCACCGAUGCUUCACCUUGUCAAUUGAUUCUCCACCGCCAAACCCAUCGGAUUCUAUCUCGCGCGGCAAUUGGGAGACCCAAUUGGCUUCAAUAUUGCCACUGAUUGAUCAGCUGGGCUUCUUCUAUCGUUGUCCCUCUCAAUUUCAUCUCCAGAUCAGCUUCUCAGAGUAGUUCACUAGCACAAGAGUCUAUCAAGUGUGGGAGUUGAUGUUUUCGUACUAUAAGGAAUGCAGAAUCUUCACUUGGAUGCACAUGCACUCACUGGUUCGAAAAGCUUCACAUCACCAAGGUAUAAGAGGAAAAAUAUGUUUGGAUACACUUGUAUCUUAAAGGUAAUACCAAGUUUUUAAAGAUCCGCGUGUUUUUGUUUAGUUAGUUUACCUUUUUGUCCUUGAUUUGGUUUUUUUUUGUCUUCGUUUUCUGUUUUCGUGGGAGUAUGUAAUGGUUAAACUAGCAAGAGAAGAGAAGCCACCUGGUUAAACCGUUAUUGCAUAUUACACAAAAACGACCAAUCACCUA